rnacentral:rRNA from 1 species
UGAUGCGAUCAUACCAGUGCUAAAGCACCGGAUCCCAUUAGAACUUCGAAGUUAAGCGUGCUUGGGCGAGAGUAGUACUAGGAUGGGUGACCUCCUCGGAAGUCCUCGUGUUGCAUUCC